AUUGAACGCUGGCGGCAGGCUUAACACAUGCAAGUCGAGCGGGGUGAUGGUGCUUGCACUAUCACUUAGCGGCGGACGGGUGAGUAAUGCUUAGGAAUCUGCCUAUUAGUGGGGGACGACAUCUCGAAAGGGAUGCUAAUACCGCAUACGUCCUACGGGAGAAAGCAGGGGAUCACUUGUGACCUUGCGCUAAUAGAUGAGCCUAAGUCGGAUUAGCUAGUUGGUGGGGUAGAGGCCUACCAAGGCGACGAUCUGUAGCGGGUCUGAGAGGAUGAUCCGCCACACUGGGACUGAGACACGGCCCAGACUCCUACGGGAGGCAGCAGUGGGGAAUAUUGGACAAUGGGGGGAACCCUGAUCCAGCCAUGCCGCGUGUGUGAAGAAGGCCUUAUGGUUGUAAAGCACUUUAAGCGAGGAGGAGGCUCUUUUGGUUAAUACCCAAGAUGAGUGGACGUUACUCGCAGAAUAAGCACCGGCUAACUCUGUGCCAGCAGCCGCAGUAA
rnacentral:rRNA from 1 species